CCUACGGGAGGCAGCAGUGAGGAAUAUUGGUCAAUGGCCGCAGGGCUGAACCAGCCAAGUCGCGUGAGGGAUGACGGUCCUAUGGAUUGUAAACCUCUUUUGUCAGGGAGCAAAGGGCGCCACGUGUGGCGCUUUGCGAGUACCUGAAGAAAAAGCAACGGCUAACGCCGGGCCAGCAGCCGCGGUAAUACGGAGGAUGCGAGCGUUAUCCGGAUUUAUUGGGGUUAAAGGGUGCGCAGGCGGAAUGGCAAGUCAGCGGUAAAAUUUCGGGGCUCAAACCCGUCGUGCCGUUGAAACUGGCGUUCUUGAGUGGGCGAGAAGUAUGCGGAAUGCGUGGUGUAGCGGUGAAAUGCAUAGAUAUCACGCAGAACUCCGAUUGCGAAGGCAGCAUACCGGCGCUCAACUGACGCUCAUGCACGAAAGCGUGGGUAUCGAACAGGAUUAGAUACCCUAGUAGUC
rnacentral:rRNA from 1 species